rnacentral:rRNA from 1 species
CCUACGGGAGGCAGCAGUGGGGAAUAUUGGUCAAUGGACGAAAGUCUGAACCAGCCAAGUAGCGUGAAUGAUGACUGCCCUAUGGGUUGUAAGCUUCUUUUAUAUGGGAGUAAAUUGCUCCACGUGUGUGAUUUUGUAUGUACCAUAUGAAUACGGCUCGGCUAACUCCGUGCCAGCAGCCGCGGUAAUCCGGAGGUUCCGAGCGUUAUCCGGAUUUAUUGGGUUUAAAGGGAGCGUAGGUGGAUGGGGAAGUCAGUUGUGAAAGUUGGCGGAUCAACCGUAAAAUUGCAGUUGAAACUGGAAGGCUGGAGGACAGGAGAGGUGGGUGGAAUUCGUGGUGUAGCGGUGAAAUGCGUAGAUAUCACGAAGAACUCCGAUGGCGAAGGCAGCUCACUGGACUGUAACUGACACUGAGGCUCGAAAGUGUGGGUAGCAAACAGGAUUAGAUACCCUAGUAGUC